AUUAGCUCUUUUGGUGCUAAACGAUGCAGAAAUACAUGCUACUGAGAGAAGAAGAAAGGAAGAAUGGACGAAAAACUGGAUGAAGAGGAGAAACGCUGGGAAAGGUGUGCUCUCCAUGCUUCAUAAAGAGUUGAGGAUAGAAGAUCGCACAUCCUUUGCAAAUUUUAUUCGAAUGGAUGUAUUGGCAUUUGAAGAACUGCUUCGAAUGGUUUCGCCUUUGAUUCAGAAGAAAGACACUGUAAUGCGUCAGGCAAUUACGGCGCGGGAAAGGCUUGCUGUCACACUGCGUUUCCUAGCGACCGGAAACACUUACAAAGAUUUGGCCAUUCUACACAAAUAGCAAACAACACGCUCUCCCGUAUGAUACCAGAGACUUUGACGGCCAUAGCAAGCGUGUUAGGAGAUAAUGCGACACAGUGUCCACGUGAUCCUGCCGAGUGGAAAGUAAUAGAAGAUGGGUUCCACAGCCUCUGGCAAUUCCCGCAUUGCAUUGGAGCACUUGAUGGGAAACAUGUCAAGUUUAGGCCUCUGCGCUCUGAUGGUUCAUCAUUCAGAAACUACAAAGGUCACGACAGCAUAGUUCUUUUAGCUCUAGUAGAUGCUAAUAAUAAAUUUUUGUUUGUGGACAUUGGCAGAAAUGGAAGAAUGAAUGAUGGUGCAAUAUUCAGAGAGAGUGCCUUGUUCAUGAAACUCAUGGAUGGUUCAUUAAAUUUGCCACCAAGUCUCCACUUCCAGGUAGUGACAUCUGUGUUCCCUACAUGUUUGUGGCAGAUGAUGCUUUUGCGUUAAAGGAAAAUUUAAUGAAACCAUAUCCUGAACGUGACAUGACACCUGAAAAAAGAAUUUUUAACUACAGAAUUUGUAGAGCACGUAGAGUUGUGGAAAAUGCCUUUGGCAUAAUGUCAAACAAAUUCAGAAUUUUGCUGCAGACUAUUCCACUAUCUGUUUCCAAAGUAGAGCUCAUUACAAAAGUGUGUUGCUUGCUACAUAAUUUUGUACUUGCCAGAAACUCUCAAGGAUAUAUCCCUCCAAAUGUAGAUGAAUUACCAUGUCUUCCUGGCAUUGCUACUCAGGGUGCAAAUCAUAGUGCAGCCAGUGCAAGAGAAGUGAGACAACAUCUGACAUGGUAUUUCAAUACUGUUGGCAGAGUUCCAUGGCAGGAAAGGUGUGUUCAGGAAGGUAACAGAUAAUGGUUUACUAUGUUUCUGAAACAUUACCUUAUUCAUUGUUUCAUUUUCAGUCCUUUCGCAUAUUG